rnacentral:tRNA from 1 species
GGAUCCAUGGGGUAGAGGAUAUCCUCUUGGGCUUNNGGACGCGGGUUCGAUUCCCGCUGGGUCCG